ACUCAAAUGAAUUGACGGGGGCCCGCACAAGCAGUGGAUUAUGUGGUUUAAUUCGAAGCAACGCGAAGAACCUUACCAGGAUUUGACAUCCCACCAACGAAGCGGAAACGCAUUAGGUGCCCUUCGGGGAGGGUGGAGACAGGUGGUGCAUGGUUGUCGUCAGCUCGUGUCGUGAGAUGUUGGGUUAAGUCCCGCAACGAGCGCAACCCUUAUUGUUAGUUGCUACGCAAGAGCACUCUAGCGAGACUGCCGUUGACAAAACGGAGGAAGGCGGGGACGACGUCAAAUCAUCAUGCCCCUUAUAUUCUGGGCUACACACGUAAUACAAUGGCGGUCAACAGAGGGAAGCGAAGUGGCGACAUGGAGCAAAUCCCCAAAAGCCGUCUCAGUUCGGAUCGCAGGCUGCAACCCGCCUGCGUGAAGUCGGAAUUGCUAGUAAUCGCGGAUCAGCACGCCGCGGUGAAUACGUUCCCGGGCCUUGCACACACCGCCCGU
rnacentral:rRNA from 1 species